rnacentral:rRNA from 1 species
UGGGGAAUAUUGGGCAAUGGGCGAAAGCCUGACCCAGCGACGCCGUGUGGGCGAUGAAGGCCCUCGGGUUGUAAACUUCUGUUUUCAGGGAAGAAAGAAAUGACGGUACCUGAAGAGAAAGCUCCGGCAAACUACGUGCCAGCAGCCGCGGUAAUACGUAGGGAGCGAGCGUUGUCCGGAAUCACUGGGCGUAAAGGGCGCGUAGGCGGUUUUACAAGUUGCAUGUGAAAUACCAUGGCUCAACCAUGGGGUGUCAUGCAAAACUGUAGGGCUUGAGUGCAGUAGAGGAAAGCGGAAUUCCUGGUGUAGCGGUAAAAUGCGUAGAGAUCAGGAGGAACACCAGCGGCGCAGGCGGCUCACUAGACAGUUUCUGACGCUAAGAUACGAAAGCGUGGGGAGCAAACA